rnacentral:rRNA from 1 species
GACGAACGCUGGCGGCGUGCUUAACACAUGCAAGUCGAACGGGCUCUGUCUGGCUGUGUGCUGGGUGGGGUUAGUGGCGAACGGGUGAGUAAUACGUGAGUAACCUGCCCUCUUCUUUGGGAUAAGCCUUGGAAACGGGGUCUAAUACUGGAUAUUCCUGUCUGGUCGCAUGGCUGGGUGGGGAAAGUUUUUUUCGGUGGGGGAUGGGCUCGCGGCCUAUCAGCUUGUGGGUGGGGUGAUGGCCUACCAAGGCGUCGACGGGUAGCCGGCCUGAGAGGGGGACCGGCCACACUGGGACUGAGAUACGGCCCAGGCUGCUACGGGGGGCAGCAGUGGGGGAGAUUGCACGAUGGACGCAAGCCUAAUGCAGCGACGCGGCGUGAGGAAUGACGGCUUUCGGGUUGUAAACCUCUUUCGUCGGGGGACAAGGCUCUGCUUGGUGGUGGGGUUGAGGGUACCCGGUGAAGAAGCGCCGGCUAACUACGUG